rnacentral:rRNA from 1 species
UACGAAGGGGGCUAGCGUUGUUCGGAUUUACUGGGCGUAAAGCGCACGUAGGCGGAUCUUUAAGUCAGAGGUGAAAUCCCGGAGCUCAACUUCGGAACUGCCUUUGAUACUGGGGAUCUCGAGUUCGGGAGAGGUGAGUGGAACUGCGAGUGUAGAGGUGAAAUUCGUAGAUAUUCGCAAGAACACCAGUGGCGAAGGCGGCUCACUGGCCCGAUACUGACGCUGAGGUGCGAAAGCGUGGGGAGCAACAGGGAUUAAGAUACCC